rnacentral:rRNA from 1 species
ACAUGCAAGUCGAACGCACUCUCGUUUAGAUUGAAGGAGCUUGCUCCUGAUUGAUAAACAUUUGAGUGAGUGGCGGACGGGUGAGUAACACGUGGGUAACCUGCCCUAAAGUGGGGGAUAACAUUUGGAAACAGAUGCUAAUACCGCAUAAAACCUAACACCGCAUGGUGUAGGGUUGAAAGAUGGUUUCGGCUAUCACUUUAGGAUGGACCCGCGGUGCAUUAGUUAGUUGGUGAGGUAAAGGCUCACCAAGACCGUGAUGCAUAGCCGACCUGAGAGGGUAAUCGGCCACACUGGGACUGAGACACGGCCCAGACUCCUACGGGAGGCAGCAGUAGGGAAUCUUCCACAAUGGACGAAAGUCUGAUGGAGCAACGCCGCGUGAGUGAAGAAGGUUUUCGGAUCGUAAAACUCUGUUGUUGGAGAAGAAUGUAUCUGAUAGUAACUGAUCAGGUAGUGACGGUAUCCAACCAGAAAGCCACGGCUAACUACGUGCCAGCAGCCGCGGUAAUACGUAGGUGGCAAGCGUUGUCCGGAUUUAUUGGGCGUAAAGCGAGCGCAGGCGGUUUCUUAAGUCUGAUGUGAAAGCCUUCGGCUCAACCGAAGAAGUGCAUCGGAAACUGGGAAACUUGAGUGCAGAAGAGGACAGUGGAACUCCAUGUGUAGCGGUGAAAUGCGUAGAUAUAUGGAAGAACACCAGUGGCGAAGGCGGCUGUCUGGUCUGUA